UGCUAGUCCGACCCACAGGGGAUCA
rnacentral:piRNA from 1 species